rnacentral:rRNA from 1 species
UGAACGCUGGCGGCACGCUUUACACACGCAAGUUCGGAACGGCAGCACAGAGAAGCUUGCCUUUCUUCGGGCGGCGAGCGGCGAACGGGCGAGUAACAUAUCGGAAACGUACCGAGCAGCGGGGGAUAACUAAUCGAAAGAUUAGCUAAUACCGCAUAUUUUCUGAGGAAGAAAAGCAGGGGACCAUUUCGGCCUCGCGCUGUUUGAGCGGCCGAUAUCUGAUUAGCUAGUUGGUGGGGUAAAGGCCUACCAAGGCGACGAUUCAGUAGCGGGUCUGAGAGGAUGAUUCCGCCACACUGGGACUGAGACACGGCCCAGACUCCUACGGGAGGCAGCAGUGGGGAAUUUUGGACAAUGGGCGCAAGCCUGAUUCCAGCCAUGCCGCGUGUCUGAAGAAGGCCUUCGGGUUGUAAAGGACUUUUGUCAGGGAAGAAAAGGGCGGGGUUAAUACCCCUGUCUGAUGACGGUACCUGAAGAAUAAGCACCGGCUAACUACGUGCCAGCAGCCGCGGUAAUACGUAGGGUGCGAGCGUUAAUCGGAAUUACUGGGCGUAAAGCGGGCGCAGACGGUUACUUAAGCAGGAUGUGAAAUCCCCGGGCUCAACCUGGGAACUGCGUUCUGAACUGGGUGACUAGAGUGUGUCAGAGGGAGGUAGAAUUCCACGUGUAGCAGGAAAAUGCGUAGAGAUGUGGAGGAAUACCGAUGGCGAAGGCAGCCUCCUGGGAUAACACUGACGUUCAUGCCCGAAAGCGUGGGUAGCAAACAGGAUUAGAUACCCUGGUAGUCCACGCCCUAAACGAUGUCGAUUAGCUGUUGGGCAGCAUGACUGCUUAGUAGCGAAGCUAACGCGUGAAAAUCGACCGCCUGGGGAGUACGGUCGCAAGAUUAAAAACUCAAAAGGAAAUUGACGGGGACCCGCACAAGCGGUGGAUGAUGUGGAUUAAAUUCGAUGCAAACGCGAAGAACCUUACCUGGUCUUGACAUGUACGGAAACCCUCCAGAGACGGAGGGGUGCCUUCGGGAGCCGUAACACAGGUGCUGCAUGGCUGUCGUCAGCUCGUGUCGUGAGAUGUUGGGUUAAAGUCCCGCAACGAGCGCGAACCCUUGUCAUUAGUUGCCAUCAUUAAGUUGGGCACUCUAAUGAGACUGCCGGUGACGAAGCCGGAGGAAGGUGGGGAUGACGUCGAAGUCCUCAUGGCCCUUAUGACCAGGGCUUCACGACGUCAUACGAUGGUCGGUACAGAGGGUAGCCGAA